rnacentral:rRNA from 1 species
GCCUCUUACAUUGGGACAAACCAAAAGAAAUUCUGGCUAAUACCAAAUACUCCGCACAUAUCACAUGAUGUAUGCGGGAAAGCUUUGCGGUAAGAGAUGGGGUCGCGGCCCAUUAGGUAGACGGCGGGGUAGAAGCCCACCGUGCCGAUGAUGGGUAGCCGGGUUGAGAGACCGACCGGCCACAUUGGGACUGAGAUACGGCCCAGACUCCUACGGGAGGCAGCAGUA